UUAGAAUUUAGUCACCUAUGAUGACGUGCAUGUGAACUUCACUCAGGAAGAGGGGGCUUUGCUUGAGACUUCUCAGAAGAAUCUCUACAAAGAUGUGAUGCUAGAGACCUAUAGGAAUCUCUCAGCUAUAGGGUACAUUUGGGAAGAACAUACAAUUGAAGACCAUUUUCAAACUUCUAGAAGUCAUGGAAGAAUUCAUACAGAUAAAAAGACUCAUCAGUACACUCAAUGUGAGAAAGAUUUCACGUGUGCUAAUUGUAUUUGCAGGCAUGAAAGAAGUUGUAUUGCAGUGCAACCCUCUGAAUUUAUUCAAUGUGGUAAAGCCUUUGCAUAUCAUAGUCUAUAGACAAAGGCAUGAAAGAACACAUAAUGGGGAGAAAGACUAUUACUGUAACCAAUGUGGUAAAGCCUUUGUAAUAAGCAGUCAUCUCCGAAUACAUAAACGAAGAAAUACAGGAGAGAAACCCUAUGAAU
rnacentral:lncRNA from 1 species